rnacentral:pre_miRNA from 9 species
UCUCGAGAGCGUAAAAGUUUAUAUCAAAUUUGUAUGGAGUUGGAACGUUUGCCUAAGUUUGCCGCUAGGGGCGCUGUUCCAACUGCAUACCAAUUUGUGUUAACUUUUACGCUAUCGA